ACCUGCCCACUGAUUUAUUAAAUGGCCGCAGUAAUUUGACUGUGCAAAGGUAGCAUAAUCAUUAGUUUUUUAAUUAAAAGCUUGUAUGAAUGGUUGGACGAGGUAGAAUCUGUCUCUAGAUAAUUUAAGUUAGAAUUUAAUUUUGAAGUUAAAAAGCUUAAAUGAUAAUAAAAGACGAGAAGACCCUAUAGAUCUUUAUAUUAAUAUAAUUAAUUUUAUUUAAGAUUUUUUUAAUUUUUUAUUUAUAUUAUUAUUUUAUUGGGGUAAUAGAAAGAUUUAAAUAAUUCUUUUUUUUAUUAUAUAGAUUAAUAUUUAUAUGAUCCAAAGAUUUUUGAUUAUAAGAUUAAGUUACCUUAGGGAUAACAGCGUAAUUUUUUUAAAGAGUUCUUAUCGAUAAAAAAGUUUGCGACCUCGAUGUUGGAUUAAAAAUUAUCUUAGGUGCAGAAGUUUAAGAAUUUGGUCUGUUCGACCAUUAAAUUUUU
rnacentral:rRNA from 1 species